rnacentral:rRNA from 1 species
CUUUCCCUCUGGCGGCAGGCCUAACACAUGCAAGUCGAGCGGAUGAAGGGAGCUUGCUCCUGGAUUCAGCGGCGGACGGGUGAGUAAUGCCUAGGAAUCUGCCUGGUAGUGGGGGAUAACGUCCGGAAACGGGCGCUAAUACCGCAUACGUCCGGAGGGAGAAAUUGGGGGAUCUUCGGACCUCACGCUAUCAGAUGAGCCUAGGUCGGAUUAGCUAGUUGGUGGGGUAAAGGCCUACCAAGGCGACGAUCCGUAACUGGUCUGAGAGGAUGAUCAGUCACACUGGACCUGAGACACGUCCCAGACCCCUACGGGAGGCAGCAGUGGGGAAUAUUGGACAAUGGGCGAAAGCCUGAUCCAGCCAUGCAGCGUGUGUGAAGAAGGUCUUCGGAUUGUAAAGCACUUUAAGUUGGGAGGAAGGGCAGUAAGUUAAUACCUUGCUGUUUUGACGUUACCAACAGAAUAAGCACCGGCUAACUUCGUG